rnacentral:ncRNA from 1 species
GUGGUAACGGGUAACGGGGAAUCAGGGUUCGAUUCCGGAGAGGGAGCCUGAGAAACGGCUACCACAUCCAAGGAAGGCAGCAGGCGCGCAAAUUACCCACUCCCGGAACGGGGAGGUAGUGACGAAAAAUAACGAUACGGGACUCAUCCGAGGCCCCGUAAUCGGAAUGAGAACACUUUAAAACCUUUAAACGAGGAUCAAUUGGAGGGCAAGUCUGGUGCCAGCAGCCGCGGUAAUUCCAGCUCCAAUAGCGUAUAUUAAAGUUGUUGCGGUUAAAAAGCUCGUAGUCGGAUCUGUGUCUGGACGGUGCCGGACCACCCUGGCGGUCCGUCGUGUCGCGGCCGGCCGUGUCGCGGGACCACGUGUCCCGUCGGCGCGGUCGCCGUCGCGCUCGUCAGCCGUCUCGGGGUGUUAGUUACCGGCACGUCGGCCGGACGUAUUGUCGGCAGGCGGACACGUGUCUCGUGCUUCCGGCGCGCCGCGCGGCCACGCGUCGCGCGGCCGUCGGUGUUCGACGACGGCGGCCGCCUACUCCAAUCUUGCUGCGCGGUGCUCUUCACCGAGUGCCGUCGGCGGACCGACACGUUUACUUUGAACAAAUUAGAGUGCUCAAAGCAGGCUCGAAUCUGGCGGGGCGGCUUCACGGCCGUCUCGUCAAAAGGCCCUGAAUACUGGUCGCAUGGAAUAAUGGAACAAGACCUCGGUCCCGCGCAUCUCCGCCCUUCGCGGGCGCGCGAAAUCGCCCUCCGGGGCGUUUCCGUGCGCGGGCCGCCGGGCCGCGGGCGCCAGUCGCCCGCGCGUCCCGCCGGGCCGGUUUUCGGGACCGGAGGUAAUGAUCAACAGAGACGGGCGGGGGCAUUCGUACCGAGACGUUAGAGGUGAAAUUCUUGGAUCGUCUCGAGACGAACUGACGCGAAAGCAUUUGCCAAGUACGUUCUCGUAUGAUCAAGAACGAAAGUUAGAGGUUCGAAGGCGAUCAGAUACCGCCCUAGUUCUAACUGUAAACGAUGCCAGCUAGCGAUCCGCCGGCGUUUCAUUAACGACCCGGCGGGCAGCUUCCGGGAAACCGAAGCUUUUCGGUU